CUGUCCCUCGCAUCUUCUUCCCCCGUGCGCAGCUUCCCCCAGCUUGGACCGCACCCUGGUUCCCGCUCCCUCUUGCUCAGCUCUCCAGCGCGCGCCCUGCUUCCUCCUCGCCGGCCACCAGGAAGCUCUCUCCGCUGCAGCACCGUGCGUGCAGGACGUUCUCCUCUCGACCUCCUCCCGCGCUCGGCUCCUGGAUCGGAUCUCCGGGUCGUGUGCUCCAGUGCCGGCGCGCGCCCGUCUCCUAUGGCGCUCCUCUCUGCUGCCGCACCUAUCUCCCUGCUCGCCCUCUACAUCGUCAUGCCCCUCCUUGCUCCUCCCAGGUCCGACUGCUGUCCUCCCUAUUCCACCUCUUCAAGCUCGCCUCCACCUCGGUUCUGGUGCAUGCUCGGCCACCACGAUGUCCCAGCGCCGGUGAAGGUCCGUCCUGCAGCAGCACCGUGGUGGCCUUCGACUUGGAGCACUGCGACGACUCCAUGCCGUGCCCAUCUGCUUCCUCCAUGCCCGAGUCCAAGAUCCUCCUCCGGCUGGUUCAUCACGGACACGGGCACAAAGCCUGUACGCUUGGAGUGCUGA
rnacentral:misc_RNA from 1 species